rnacentral:lncRNA from 1 species
AAGGAGGAGGUGGAAUUUCUUUCAACUAUAACAUUUAUUACAACACUUAAUAUUACAGACAGAGAAUUCGGUAAGGGGAUAGAAGCACAUCCUGCACCCGAUAUGUCAAAGCAGCUUGAAGCCCUGCAACUCGCGCAUACUGAUGAAAGGGAAAAGGCCAAUUCACGCAUUUUUCGCAGAGUACCUGAAAAGCCCUAUGAGCUAACUUUCCAUUUGACGGAAAAGAGCAAGCGGACCUGUGAAAGUCACAUCUUUUACUAAUAUAACAGGCUUCUGAGAGGAUUCUUUAAUCAACCAAAACCUGCAGUCCUUAAUUUCUACCACUUACAAGUUGAGAUUUGUUCCAUUCCCAAUGGCAGAAGAAGGAUGCAAGCUGGAAGGACUUGGACAAGAUAUUAUUCACUUGGACAGGAGCUGCAGCGCGCUUAGCGUCGGAAAGAUCCCUCUACAUGGGUGUGCUAUAAAACUAGGAGAAGAACAGAACUAAACUGAAAAUUUCCUUUCGUUUCGAGCUUCCAGUUAUUCUGGAUUGCUAACGUGAUUGGAUUACGGCUGAUUCAGAGUAGGUUGGCUCUGGGGAACCUAUUCAUGUAGAGUCGGGUCGGCAGCUUUUGAAUCCAAGUAGGUUGUUUUCAAGCCAAGAAUAAAGACUUCACCUUCAAGCGCAGAUCUAACGGCAAGGGAAUCCGCUGUUUAUGAAGAGUUAAUAGCACUUUCCCGGAAUAGAACUCUCAGGAUGAAUGCAGGGGGCUGUGGGCUAGUCUGAUUCGGAGGCUGAAUGCGUACUUCACUCUCUCGGGAUGUCUGCCCACUGUAACCUAAGCAAGCCCUAAUCCACUCCUUUUUUUCUAAGCGUAAGCCCUUGGAUUAGUUUCCUUCCUUGGGAUCCUUCUCCGGGGAUUAUGUUACAUCUAUCUCGUAAGCCGGCUAGAUUCAAUACAGCGGAUGAGGAAAAUCCUGCAAGCUUAGACAAGAUAGAAAGUAAGGAAGACAGAAGGUGGGUAGCGAAGAACAAAUCCAAUAGCUAGGUCACGAUUCAACUUCCUAUUCAAGUGAAUCUGCCUGGAGCGAGCCUGGUCUGGGAUCUUUCCCAUAGCCUUCUUUCUUUAUUCUUUAUCGCCUGGUCUUUCGUAUGGGACGUGGGAUCUUUCUUUCCUAAAUCCAUUUACCUUGCUAGCCUAAGGCUUAAGAGUUAUCCCUUCUAAUCAAAAAAGGAAAGCAAGGAAAGCCGAAACCAGUGCUACUCUCAAGUAACCCAAUGGACGUACGAAUAUCUGCUUCGAAAGGACAAAGAGAGUCUUUAUUUAAGCUAUUCUUCGCUUAUUGGCACAAGAAGCUGACUCAAUGAGAGGGACACCAUCGAGCCAAGUAUCCAGUCAAAACUUAGUUGCAUGGCCAUUUAAAUUAAAACAUUCAUUCCAAGGCCCUUUUUGAGCACCACCCGACCUUUCAUUUCAAGACGCUUCUCAUUCUCACAGGUAGGAAGAAGAAGGUUUAAUCGGGCUAUGAAGGAAAUCCACCUCUCUCUGGUAUGUUUUAUUAACCUCGUCCUGCCAGUGCGGGCAGUCGACUCAGUAACCAGUGCUAGGAAUUUAAAAAAUGCCUUAGGGCAAGUGACGAUAAGCUGCUAAACUAUUUCUGUAUUGUAAACAAUCACUCAUUUUCGAUCUAAGAGGCUUUCAACUUAUAAAGAUAAAGCCAAUAGUUCGGUGCACGGAACUAUUGGCUUUAGCGACCCAAUGUCAGUAGAUGAAAGACGAGUUCGAAAGUACUGGAUAGGUGCCUCCCCCACGAAAUGUAGCUUAUGCGGAACCUAUUACUCCUCAACCACCAACUGAUAGAGAAGCUCUGUAAGGGCUAUUAUAGGGCACGCCCUACUCAAUGCGAUUUUUUUUCUUUUCUUGCUGAAAUCCAAUCCUCUCUUAUUGAAUUAAUUCUUUGUGCUGAUAGGAAUGCCCUUUCUUUGGACGACAUAAACCAAAAAACAUCCUCUUACUGGGCUGGUAGUAGCGUUAGCGUCCUAAGAGCCCUCUGGUUGCAUUGAAAAAAGAUGAGCUUUUUCCCCGGUGGUUCAGAAGAUGCCACAUCUGCCUCAAGACCCACAGCUUAUUCAACAGCUUACGCCCCUGCGAUUUGUUGCUUCCAAGGUUUUCGAUUGGUCUUAUUUCUACCCGGGUUUCAAGCCAUCGUCUCAGUCGGUGGCCUAAGAUAAGCCAACUUACAAGAUCGGAUUAGCAAAUCAUGAAACCAGCCAAAGAAGAGCUUGCAAUCGCAUAUUGCGCCCAUACUAGUACCCUUUGUUGUACCUACUUAGGCCACAUCCCCUUCCUUUUCCUUCCCAGCAUGUCUGUCGUCUUCUUUCAAAGAGGCCAUUCUUGGUCUUUCAACUAACCCGAAAAGGGCUACUUACCAAUCAAAAGGAAAAAAGAACGAAUGAGAUAGCUGAAGCCAAAGCCACAUUUGAGGAUCUUGAAUCCGCCGUGAACUGAACAAGAUCCCCUUCUAGUCGGAGGAAAAAGCCGAUGUUAGCAAGAUGCUAGUGCUCAUGCCAAGAGAAAGAAGCUGCCAAUAGCCACUAUCCCAGAUUCCAUGCAAGUGCUAUAAUCCGAUCUGACUCCUCACGCUGGCAAGGAAAGAAAUGACAUAAAGGGAGGUCCUAACUGAAUGAAUUGAGGUUGAGUAAAAGCCAUUCGCUUGAGAACAAUUCGGCGAUUGGAACUCGAUCUGGGAUUGGGAUCUUAGGGCACUGAGAACCUACUGUAUAGUACAUUCAAGAGUACUAAUCAUAAAAAAUGUACAGAAAAAAAGGCACACCCUAUUCAAGGCCCUGAUGGUCACUCCCCCCGCGCUCUACUACAGGAAAGCUAGCCUGGUUGAUCCACUACACGCUAAGAAGCAAGUCCCGACUAACUAAGUAAAUCCGGGUUAGACUGAAAGUGACCAGAAAUUGCAAUCUUCUUUCACAGACUACAGACUAGCGAUAGUUAAAAAGAGCGAAGCGUAGCCGUGUUUAAGCCGAAGUGAUUCCCGUGUUUACUGAGCUAUAUCUCUAUCUAUUAGUUAGCCGGCUUAAAGAGUUUAGACUCACGAUACUGAGAAAGCAAGCCGAUCAUAGACGGAGGUUUAAGCUUGAAGUGAAGUGUCCGCCCUAAGGCGAAUCAGAUGUUCGAACGAGACUGUUCAGGAACAUGGAUUUUUGGUAUACCUGCACAAUAGCUUUCUCUACGAGCCUACAAGCUUAGCUUUGGUUAAGCUUCCAACUAAGGCUAAGGGCUUGGCAUGUUCCCAAGCUAACUCUUGAUAACCUCUGUUCACGCUCACGAUCUUACUUGCACGGCUCCGCUUCUUUCCCUGCUAGGUGAACUAAGCACAGGAGAAGCCUACAGGAAAGGAGAUCUCGCUCUUUCCUUUCACCGGUCGGGAAGUGCAUCCUAUCCUAUAAUAAGCAACUGGGUCUUUCCUGCUUGGGAAUUCGAGUAAGCAGGAAGCGUACUUGUUAAGAGUAGGGGCGCCAUUGCUGAGUGAAGGAACAUGCCAAGGUCAGGGGGAAAAGAAGAACAGAAGCCCUAUUCACAGCUUUUUCGAUCUAUCUAAGCUACUACGUCAAUUUGUGAUUCAAUCGAUGCUAAUUCGGCUAUUAAGGUUGGCCUAGGUUGUUGCCGCUAGGAUUGAGCGAGACUAGACCUAAAGGGUUCAGCCCGGGCUUAGGCCCCAUCCCUCUUGAGCGAAUUCUUUCCUAGAGUGCCGGCUAAUGAUACAUGCCAUCCAUCCAUACUGCUACAGGGCUUAGAGGAGAGAUUGGCUUCAUGCCUAUUCUAUUUCCAAGAGGGCCAUCAAAGAGCCUCUUCUGUCCUGCUUUCUGAUUCAAUUCCAUCUGCACCUGACACCAGCAAGGGAAAGAUAGUUCUGACUCGUCCAUUAAGCAUGUCACUUUCUCUAAGGAAGGGAAGAGCUUCUACACAAAUAAAAGCGUCUGCGCCUCAAGUCCCACAUCUGAGUCAAUAGCACCGGAGUCGAGGUUUUUUAUCCCUAAAACCUUAAAACAUUGCUUGAUUAAGAAAACAGAGUCAAUGGAAAAAACUCCUGAAAUAGCAGGAGUAAUGCAGAUUCAACGGGAGUGAACAGCUUCUUCGUCUGAAACGGAUCCAUGGCAUUUAACAAAAGCAUUUCUCACCGGGAUCUUUCCCCGCUUCCAACCAUUGACCAUUGAUUCUUCUACCCUCUCUCCUACCGGAGACCCGGAUCAAAAGGCAUCCCAAAGCACAUGGAAAGCCUGUCAAACUUGUCAGGCGGUGAUACGAUACCGGAUUGGCUCAAAAUCUAGAUUGAAAAAAGAAAAGUUAUUGCAACUACGAACGUGAACAGAUGCUUUCUCAUUAUACUAUUUUAACCGAAAAAGUGUUUAUGUCGACCCGAUUCUUCUUCUCUUAGGAAAUUUCGUCUUUCGUUUCUCCCCUUUCAAACAGACUUUUUUUUAUCCGCAUCUGAUCUUUCCUGGUAUUCAAUCUGUUUUUUCGGGGUUUUCCGGGUAUUUACUUCUCCUUCAUCCCUUGCUUCUUCCUGUGCUUCGGCUUAGUUUACUACUAAAUUUCACCUUCUUUCACGGGAUUAGUAAUCAAGAGUGUUCCUUGCUUCUUAUCCUGUUUUCCUCAUUAUAGUUCUCGAAAGGUCUUAAAGUAAGCCUCGGGUGAGGGGCACGAAGCUUUCAUACUUAAAUCGAUUCACGGGGAAGUUAUUUUAUAAAAAAAAUCAUUUAACGGCGGGGAUUAUUACUAUUUGGGUCUUUCAAAGGCCUUUGUAUCUAUAUAGAAAUAGAAACUUUGAAUCAAAGCGCUACGCCCCUGGUUAUCUUAGUGAAAGCUCCAUCCCAACUUUCAAAGCGAGUGCACUACUAGCAAUGAAGGGCAUAGUUGGCUAAUAAUCUCUUUAUUUCGAUUCCGAUAGGGG